rnacentral:lncRNA from 1 species
CAAAGAAGUCCCUGUGGGGAAGGCAGCAGGGAGCACGAGUCCUGGAAGCAUGAGGCAAAGCCCGGAGAAGCUGGGGAGGGUGGAGGCCGUUACCUCUCUUAAAGUCUCUUUCUGGAGGCAAGUGCAUCUCCCAUGCCUCAUCAGCUGGAUGUCAGCACCAGAUCAUCCUAUCAAGCAUGGAAGCAUCUAUAUAACGAGGGCACAGGAGAAAGAAGAAAAAGAAAAGCAACCAUGCACCUGACCCGUAGCUACCCUUUUUCAGGAUGAGAGGCUCACAUCCGGAAUAUCACAGUUGGGGCUUCAUAAGGCACCCCUGCACCCCUGUUUCCUGGAAUCUACUGAGAGAAAAUGGCAGACCAGCCAAGAUAUUUGACUGAGUUACAGGAGGCAAAGCGGAACAGUGUCUGCGAAUUACCUGGGGACCGCGGGCAGGGUGGACAACCGAUGGAGAAGGCUAGAGCCAAGAAAACACCAUUAUGCGUCGGUGAUCAGGCUUCAAUCACGUAAAGCAGGACCAGAGGGUGGGGAAUUUCAGAACCUUGAAACACGAGACGUGUUCCGUCUGUCUUCUGCUUCCUAAAAAGGAAAGCCUUCUCCACGGUUCCUGUAAGCUACGUGGAUUACCGGUGAGGCCUCACCCAGCAAUCCGGAGCAGGAAGUACAGAACACCCCAGAGGUCGCCUGCACACAACUAACUGAAACCCUCAAUUCAGCGGAUUGGCUUCCACCUUCAAGAGAAAAGCAAAUACUAAGAAAAUCAGUUCCCCCCUGGCACUGACCCUCUUUUCUUUCUGUAAUAGUCAGAGCACCCUGGCGGCGCGGCGCACAGGCACGGACACCUGCUGCAGCCUUGGGGCAGGGCGGCGCAGCGGACAGGCAGUUGGCACAGCAUCAGGGUCUCCAUGCCAGCACCACCACGCACAGGCUGUCAGCUUGGCGAGCUACCCCCACUCUCAGAGUCUUGAUUUCUUGGCUACGCAUUGGGGAUUAGAAAAAAUAAUAACCUGAUAUCCAGCAGAGGCUUGUUGAGAGGAUUAGAGGUCUGUGCAACUGCUCACCUGGGAGCCACUCAACAGGAGUGAGUUCCCUUUCUUAAUACCUGCAGAUAGUGGUCCUUGUUCCAGGCAGAAGGGGCCCUGGGCUGGCCCUAAGGAAGCUUUGAUGAUGGCCAGCCGACUGGUCCGGGUAACAUCAGCCUAGGGGGUUGUGUUUUCCCCAAGGUGGGGAAUUCCAGUUAAGGUUUUCUGUGUUUUGAAGGAACAAUGGAAACAAAAUAGAAGCCUAAAGACUUCCGGGGGAGCCUCAGAAUAAGCAGCGACAGCUGUUCUCUUUCAGGAGAUGUCAGCGCCCUCUCUUGGGGGAGCUGCGUUGACUCGGUCCCUCGUGGGAUUCGCGGGUCCUCUCAGCAUCCUUUCAAAUUAGAACCCCAGCGCUACUUCUCCCAGAAACGUUCUUCCUCAUUUCUUCAUCAGAGUCUUGCAUAUCUUUGUUCUCCUCUCUUCCAUCCAAAUCAUUCUUUCUCUCUGGUUUCGUUGGGUCUUCGACUAGUAUCUCCAAGCUGCAGUCCUAGUUUCUAAAUUUAUAACUCAGUCCAAACCUUCAAAGAACUGAUUCUCUAAGAGGAUUAUGUUUAUCCCUCUGUCACUAAGGGCCUUCCUUCUUACCUCUUAGCAGCCGCAGCGUACGUAGCACAGCGGUUAAGAUCCUGGACUCCACUGCCAGGCCGGCUGGGGUAGGGGUCCCACCUCCACUCAGCCCUCCAGUUGUGUGACCUCGCACAAGUUACUGAACCUCUCUGUGCCUCAGUUUCCUCAUCUGGGAAACGAGGCUGAUUGCAGAAACCACCUGGAGCGAUUGUUGUAGCAUUGAGUGAGUUAACACCUAACGCGCUGAGAACAGGCCGUGAUGUGUUAAGAGCUGUUCGCCACCAUGGGUUUUCCAAGGCUACUCUCUCUCACAGCACUCAUCACACUUGACUUGUGGGGUCACCCACCGGGUGACCCAAACACCAGGGCAGUGUUUCUGCAGUGUGUGCAGUAAAAGCAGAGUAAUCUGGGCCACACUCAGGAACGUAUGUUGUUAACACGGAGACACGGCGAUUUGGAGGCAGGGGGUCCACGGCCUCAUUUUUAGAAGUGCUGCUGCACUCAGCUGUGAGCCGCCAGGGUGGUGACUGCCCCAUCGUCCGGGACACACCCCCCCCCCACCUGCAGGGAGUGAGCUCCUGGCCCCCCC